rnacentral:rRNA from 1 species
UGGGGAAUUUUGGACAAUGGGCGAAAGCCUGAUCCAGCAAUGCCGCGUGUGUGAAGAAGGCCUUCGGGUUGUAAAGCACUUUUGUCCGGAAAGAAAUCCUUGGCUCUAAUACAGUCGGGGGAUGACGGUACCGGAAGAAUAAGCACCGGCUAACUACGUGCCAGCAGCCGCGGUAAUACGUAGGGUGCAAGCGUUAAUCGGAAUUACUGGGCGUAAAGCGUGCGCAGGCGGUUUGCUAAGACCGAUGUGAAAUCCCCGGGGCUCAACCUGGGAACUGCAUUGGUGACUGGCAGGCUAGAGUAUGGCAGAGGGGGGUAGAAUUCCACGUGUAGCAGUGAAAUGCGUAGAGAUGUGGAGGAAUACCGAUGGCGAAGGCAGCCCCCUGGGCCAAUACUGACGCUCAUGCACGAAAGCGUGGGGAGCAAACAGGAUUAGAUACCCUGGUAGUCCACGCCCUAAACGAUGUCAACUAGUUNUUGGGGAUUCAUUUCUUAGUAACGUAGCUAACGCGUGAAGUUGACCGCCUGGGGAGUACGGUCGCAA